rnacentral:rRNA from 1 species
AGACCCGAAACCCGGUGAUCUAGCCAUGGGCAGGUUGAAGGUUGGGUAACACUAACUGGAGGACCGAACCGACUAAUGUUGAAAAAUUAGCGGAUGACCUGUGGCUGGGGGUGAAAGGCCAAUCAAACCGGGAGAUAGCUGGUUCUCCCCGAAAGCUAUUUAGGUAGCGCCUCGUGAAUUCAUCUCCGGGGGUAGAGCACUGUUUCGGCUAGGGGGCCAUCCCGGCUUACCAACCCGAUGCAAACUGCGAAUACCGGAGAAUGUUAUCACGGGAGACACACGGCGGGUGCUAACGUCCGUCGUGAAGAGGGAAACAACCCAGACCGCCAGCUAAGGUCCCAAAGUCAUGGUUAAGUGGGAAACGAUGUGGGAAGGCCCAGACAGCCAGGAUGUUGGCUUAGAAGCAGCCAUCAUUUAAAGAAAGCGUAAUAGCUCACUGGUCGAGUCGGCCUGCGCGGAAGAUGUAACGGGGCUAAACCAUGCACCGAAGCUGCGGCAGCGAACGUAUCACUUAAAGCGAUUCAGCGGAUGACGAUUGACGGAGCGAAGCGACGUCAAAGCGUAUACAAAGUCGAGUCGGUUUAAGGAUACGUUCGUUGGGUAGGGGAGCGUUCUGUAAGCCUGUGAAGGUGGCCUGUGAGGGUUGCUGGAGGUAUCAGAAGUGCGAAUGCUGACAUAAGUAACGAUAAAGCGGGUGAAAAGCCCGCUCGCCGGAAGACCAAGGGUUCCUGUCCAACGUUAAUCGGGGCAGGGUGAGUCGACCCCUAAGGCGAGGCCGAAAGGCGUAGUCGAUGGGAAACGGGUUAAUAUUCCCGUACUUGGUGUUACUGCGAAGGGGGGACGGAGAAGGCUAUGUUGGCCGGGCGACGGUUGUCCCGGUUUAAGCGUGUAGGUGUGUGUUCCAGGUAAAUCCGGUUCACUUUAACACUGAGGCGUGAUGACGAGGCACUACGGUGCUGAAGCAACAAAUGCCCUGCUUCCAGGAAAAGCCUCUAAGCAUCAGGUAACAC